rnacentral:lncRNA from 10 species
UGGAACUUCGCUCUUGUCGCCCAGGCUGGAGUGUAAUGGCGCGAUCUCAGCUCACUGCAGCCUCUGCCUACUGGGUUCAAGCAAUUCUCCUGCCUCAGCCAGUUGAGUAGCUGGGAAUACAGACACCUGCUACCACGCCUGGCUAAUUUUUUUGUAUUUUCUUGGUAGAGACGGGGUUUUAUCGUGUUGACCAGGCUCCAGGCUGAUCUUGAACUCCUGACCUCAGAUGAACCACCUGCCUCGGCCUUCCAAAGUGUUGGGAUUGCAAACAUGAGCCACUGCGUCAGGCCCAUUAUCUUCUUUUACAGCGGAUGACAUUGAGCCUCAGAGAGGUGGGUCAUUUGCCUUUACCGAGUCUCACACCCGCCAGGACCCAGCUGGGAUUGCAGUCCAGGGCCACUUGCUCCGGAGCUGAGUUGGUGAUGACCUGGCAGCUCUGCCCUUCUGGGGGUCUUCCUGGGAUCCUCUGAGCCAGCCCCACUUUCCUCUGUUGAUCUCUGUGGGCAGCAAAACCCCCUCUGUAUUUUCCCUGAGCUCUUCACUGUGGUCUCCCCACUCCUCUGGGCUUGGACCCCCACCUGUCCAUAACCACCAUCCCCUGCUACCUUGCCUAGGACAUUCCCAAUAAUGCUCUGGAAUUUGGGGGAUGCUACAUUAUUUCCUUCUUGGUCUUUGCAGCUCUAAAUGUGCCCGAGAGUUCAGGCGUGCAUUCAGUUAGGAAGGCCUGAGCCUGUGCUCCCCGAGUGUCCUGCCUUCUCUUUGGAAGUUCUUCGUCUGGGGAUCUUGCCUCAUUACCCGAGGACUCCACUCUCUCUUUGGCCCAGAGUUCGUCUCAAUUACUGCGUAAAGACACCCUGAGGAAGGUCUCUGGGGAUGGGCGAGCAGGUGCCCCCAGCCCCGCUCCACCCGCUCUGAAGGCUCUGCUCUUCACGAGGGGUCCUCAUCCUCUGCUGUUUCGCGAGGAAACAUAUUCUAGGAACUGAAAUGAGAGCAAGAGAAGAACAGAUUCUUGGGGAAUUGAGGUGCUUCAGGCUGGCUGCACCAAGCUCUUCCACCCGCAUGAACAUCUCACCUGCUGAGGCUGGCCUUACGCAAUAUGGAGGAAGCUGUGGCAUAGUGGGCUGUGCCCAGGACCAUUCUUCUCUUCAAGCCAUGGCGGAGAGAAGCUGGACCAUGGUUGUGCUAUGAGAAUAGCCAUGGGCAUUUGGUGGAAUUGUCAACUGCUCCCCAGAUAAGUGUCCUCCUACAAUUCUUUGUUUGGUUGUUGUUAAACAGGAUUUCACUCUGUCUUCCAGGCUGGAGUGCAGUGUCAUGAUCUCUGCUCACUGCAGCCUUUGCCUCCCAGGCUCAAACGAUUCUUGUGCCUCAGCCUCCCGAGCAGUUGGGAUGACAGGCACAGGCCACCAUGCCCACCACACCCAGCUAAUUCUGUAGAGAUGGAGCUUUGCCAUGUUGGCCAGGCUGGUCUCAAACUCCUGGGCUCAAGCAGUUAGCCCGCCUUGGCCUCCCAUCUUCUUCCUGUUUUAAAUGUUGAUCUGCCAGAGGUCUUCUACUUUCUGCUAGACUCAUGCAGACGUGUAAACUGGAGUCCCUUCCAUUGCGCAGCAAUCCCAAUGAUUGCUGUUUAGCACAGUGGAGGUUACACAGUCCGAAGUACAUGGUCAGAGGAAAUUCAAAGGAGCUACAGUUGGGACGGGAGGCCUGUUCCAUCCUGAACUGGAUCAUUUUCACGCAGCUUGGAAUACCUGUCUCCUGUUGGGAGAAG